rnacentral:rRNA from 6 species
GACGAACGCUGGCGGCGUGCCUAAUACAUGCAAGUCGAACGAACUCUGGUAUUGAUUGGUGCUUGCAUCAUGAUUUACAUUUGAGUGAGUGGCGAACUGGUGAGUAACACGUGGGAAACCUGCCCAGAAGCGGGGGAUAACACCUGGAAACAGAUGCUAAUACCGCAUAACAACUUGGACCGCAUGGUCCGAGNUUGAAAGAUGGCUUCGGCUAUCACUUUUGGAUGGUCCCGCGGCGUAUUAGCUAGAUGGUGNGGUAACGGCUCACCAUGGCAAUGAUACGUAGCCGACCUGAGAGGGUAAUCGGCCACAUUGGGACUGAGACACGGCCCAAACUCCUACGGGAGGCAGCAGUAGGGAAUCUUCCACAAUGGACGAAAGUCUGAUGGAGCAACGCCGCGUGAGUGAAGAAGGGUUUCGGCUCGUAAAACUCUGUUGUUAAAGAAGAACAUAUCUGAGAGUAACUGUUCAGGUAUUGACGGUAUUUAACCAGAAAGCCACGGCUAACUACGUGCCAGCAGCCGCGGUAAUACGUAGGUGGCAAGCGUUGUCCGGAUUUAUUGGGCGUAAAGCGAGCGCAGGCGGUUUUUUAAGUCUGAUGUGAAAGCCUUCGGCUCAACCGAAGAAGUGCAUCGGAAACUGGGAAACUUGAGUGCAGAAGAGGACAGUGGAACUCCAUGUGUAGCGGUGAAAUGCGUAGAUAUAUGGAAGAACACCAGUGGCGAAGGCGGCUGUCUGGUCUGUAACUGACGCUGAGGCUCGAAAGUAUGGGUAGCAAACAGGAUUAGAUACCCUGGUAGUCCAUACCGUAAACGAUGAAUGCUAAGUGUUGGAGGGUUUCCGCCCUUCAGUGCUGCAGCUAACGCAUUAAGCAUUCCGCCUGGGGAGUACGGCCGCAAGGCUGAAACUCAAAGGAAUUGACGGGGGCCCGCACAAGCGGUGGAGCAUGUGGUUUAAUUCGAAGCUACGCGAAGAACCUUACCAGGUCUUGACAUACUAUGCAAAUCUAAGAGAUUAGACGUUCCCUUCGGGGACAUGGAUACAGGUGGUGCAUGGUUGUCGUCAGCUCGUGUCGUGAGAUGUUGGGUUAAGUCCCGCAACGAGCGCAACCCUUAUUAUCAGUUGCCAGCAUUAAGUUGGGCACUCUGGUGAGACUGCCGGUGACAAACCGGAGGAAGGUGGGGAUGACGUCAAAUCAUCAUGCCCCUUAUGACCUGGGCUACACACGUGCUACAAUGGAUGGUACAACGAGUUGCGAACUCGCGAGAGUAAGCUAAUCUCUUAAAGCCAUUCUCAGUUCGGAUUGUAGGCUGCAACUCGCCUACAUGAAGUCGGAAUCGCUAGUAAUCGCGGAUCAGCAUGCCGCGGUGAAUACGUUCCCGGGCCUUGUACACACCGCCCGUCACACCAUGAGAGUUUGUAACACCCAAAGUCGGUGGGGUAACCUUUUAGGAACCAGCCGCCUAAGGUGGGACAGAUGAUUAGGGUGAAG